UUUUUUUUUUUUUCUUUAGUAAUGAGGAAAUGUAAUUAGCUAUCAUGAUCUACUCUUUAAUCUCUAGGGCCUAUAUAUCUCUUAUAGGGUUUGAAAAUUUAUAUAAAAUUAUAAACAUCUAUGCCUUACUAAUAAAUGAAGCAAGGAUGCAUUUGCAUAUGAUAUAUGAAAAAAACAAUUACAUGUAAGAAUAUAUUGUAAGCAUGCAUAUGGGCAUAAAAUUCUAAAAAGUAGGCAUAUAUAGGAAAAGGAUAUUUCUCCUUGUGCCUGCUGAUGCUUUUUGGGGUGCUGGGAUUGCGCUACAUGGAAACAAGAAGGGGCUCUUAAGGAUUAAUGUGAGGGGCAGUUGGUAAUCCUGUAAUCAGUGACAACCCAAGAGUGGGACCUGAACAAAGCCAAAUGAUGCUGAGAGUGGAAUUUAAUUUAAUAUAUAAUUUUAAAAUAUAUGAAAUAAUGAAAGCUUUUUCUUUUUUUUAUUUUUCCUCCAGCUUCACUUCCAAGUGAUAACAGCUGGGAUUUUCACUUGCUUAGAAGCAAAAGCAUCACCUAUCACAUCAAAUAUUGGAAUAGCAAAAACAAGAACCAAAAAAGUAUUAAAUACCCAGCACCCCAUUCCAAAGCAAACACCAAACCAUACCUAUCAAUCAACAGAAAAAGACAUCUGAUCUUCAUCCUGUAUCAGAAAAGAAAAACGGUUUUUUUUUUUUUUUUUUUUUUUUUUAAAUUUAUUUUUUGGUCACGGCUGCAAAAACUUUAUAGAUUUUGAUUGCAAUACCAAAUCAUUCAUUUUUAUUUUUUUGCAUUCCAUAUGGUCAUAACUAGCUGAUAAUCCACCAGUUAUAUAAUUCCUUACUUUUAUCCAAUUUCAGCAACCCUGUUCACAUGGUUUUUGGAACAUACCAAAGGAACUUUUCCAACAUAUGAAUUUUAUAGAUAUAAUGGUGAAAACUAUAUUCUAUUAGCUUUUCUUCUCUUUCUUCAAUAUAUUUAUUUUUUCAAAAUCAUUUUACAACAAUUUCCUUAACGAGUUGAGCUUUUGCCUCUACAAUCAGAUAUAAGUUUCUCAGCAUUUAUAAAACAAAAGAAUAUUUCAGAUUCACAUAACAGAAAUGAUCUCAGACCAUUCAAAAUUU